GGCCGCGGGAAUUCGAUUCAGGCCUAACACAUGCAAGUCGAGCGGUAGAGAGAAGCUUGCUUCUCUUGAAAGCGGCGGACGGGUGAGUAAUGCCUAGGAAUCUGCCUGGUAGUGGGGGAUAACGUUCGGAAACGGACGCUAAUACCGCAUACGUCCUACGGGAGAAAGCAGGGGACCUUCGGGCCUUGCGCUAUCAGAUGAGCCUAGGUCGGAUUAGCUAGUUGGUGAGGUAAUGGCUCACCAAGGCGACGAUCCGUAACUGGUCUGAGAGGAUGAUCAGUCACACUGGAAGGGAGACACGGUCCAGACUCCUACGGGAGGCAGCAGUGGGGAAUAUUGGACAAUGGGCGAAA
rnacentral:rRNA from 1 species